rnacentral:rRNA from 1 species
UACGUAGGGUGCAAGCGUUAAUCGGAAUUACUGGGCGUAAAGCGUGCGCAGGCGGCUAUGCAAGACAGAUGUGAAAUCCCCGGGCUCAACCUGGGAACUGCAUUUGUGACUGCAUCGCUGGAGUGCGGCAGAGGGGGAUGGAAUUCCGCGUGUAGCAGUGAAAUGCGUAGAUAUGCGGAGGAACACCGAUGGCGAAGGCAAUCCCCUGGGCCUGCACUGACGCUCAUGCACGAAAGCCGUGGGGAG